rnacentral:misc_RNA from 3 species
AACGCACAUUGCGCCCUCUGGUAUUCCGGGGGGCAUGCCUGUUCGAGCGUCAUUACAACCCUCAAGCUCUGCUUGGUAUUGGGCGCCACCGCUUCGGUGCGCCUUAAAAUCAGUGGCGGCGCCAUCCGGCUUCAAGCGUAGUAAUACUUCUCGCUCUGGGGAUCCGGGUGUGUGCUUGCCAGCAACCCCCAAUUUAUCAAAGGUUGACCUCGGAUCAGGUAGGGAUACCCGCUGAACUUAA